rnacentral:tmRNA from 1 species
GGGGGCGAUCUGGUUUCGACGUGGGUGAUGAAACCGGAGGUGCAUGCCGAGGAGGCAGCUCUCCUCGUAAAUCCAGCUGCAAAAAAUUAGUUGCCAACGACGACAACUACGCACUCGCUGCUUAAUACCCAGUAGGGUGCCGUCUGACUGAGGUCGUGCUUGUGCGCUCAGAUCCAGGCGUCGACUCUCACAAGCUCGCGGUGAAGUGCUCCCAGCGCGGAUCCGUCAAAACCUAACUGGGAUCGCCGUUUGUCUUCCCUGCCCGUCGGGUAACAGGCGGUUAAAUAAAAAGUGCGGGCUAAGCAUGUAGAGCCAAUGGCGGAGUGCUUGCGGACGCGGGUUCGAUUCCCGCCGCCUCCACCA